UACGGAAGGCAGCAGUGGGGAAUAUUGCACAAUGGGCGCAAGCCUGAUGCAGCCAUGCCGCGUGUAUGAAGAAGGCCUUCGGGUUGUAAAGUACUUUUCAGCGGGGAGGAAGGCGGUGGAGUUAAUAGCUUCACCGAUUGACGUUACCCGCAGAAGAAGCACCGGCUAACUCCGUGCCAGCAGCCGCGGUAAUACGGAGGGUGCAAGCGUUAAUCGGAAUUACUGGGCGUAAAGCGCACGCAGGCGGUCUGUCAAGUCGGAUGUGAAAUCCCCGGGCUUAACCUGGGAACUGCAUUCGAAACUGGCAGGCUAGAGUCUUGUAGAGGGGGUAGAAUUCCAGGUGUAGCGGUGAAAUGCGUAGAGAUCUGGAGGAAAUCCGGUGGCGAAGGCGGCCCCUGGGACAAAGACUGACGCUCAGGGUGCGAAAGCGUGGGGAGCAAACAGGGAUUAGGAUACC
rnacentral:rRNA from 1 species